rnacentral:rRNA from 1 species
CAUUACCGAGUUUACAACUCCCAAACCCCUGUGAACAUACCUUAAUGUUGCCUCGGCGGAUCAGCCCGCGCCCCGUAAAACGGGACGGCCCGCCAGAGGACCCAAACUCUAAUGUUUCUUAUUGUAACUUCUGAGUAAAACAAACAAAUAAAUCAAAACUUUCAACAACGGAUCUCUUGGUUCUGGCAUCGAUGAAGAACGCAGCAAAAUGCGAUAAGUAAUGUGAAUUGCAGAAUUCAGUGAAUCAUCGAAUCUUUGAACGCACAUUGCGCCCGCUGGUAUUCCGGCGGGCAUGCCUGUUCGAGCGUCAUUUCAACCCUCAAGCCCCCGGGUUUGGUGUUGGGGAUCGGCUCUGCCUUCUGGCGGUGCCGCCCCCGAAAUACAUUGGCGGUCUCGCUGCAGCCUCCAUUGCGUAGUAGCUAACACCUCGCAACUGGAACGCGGCGCGGCCAUGCCGUAAAACCCCAACUUCUGAAUGUUGACCUCGGAUCAGGUAGGAAUACCCGCUGAACUUAAGCAUAU